CUAGAGGAUCCUUCUAGCCUUAAUAGUGUUUGAUUCUCUCUUCAUCUCCCAGAGAAACUCCCAGUUCCUCCUCACCCCGGCUCCCCCAUACUGACCAAUCUGCAUGGCCCAGUCCUGGUAGUGGGAUGGUCUGAAGCUCCCCCUUCUUUUCCCACAGCCCACCUGCCUGGCCGAGUUCAAGCAGAUCAGGUCCAUCAGGUGCCUCCCGCUGGAGGAGGGCCAGGCAGUACUUCAGCUGGGCAUUGAAGGUGCCCCCCAGGCCUUGUCCAUCAAAACCUCAUCCCUAGCAGAGGCUGAGAACAUGGCUGACCUCAUAGACGGCUACUGCCGGCUGCAGGGGGAGCACCAAGGCUCUCUCAUCAUCCAUCUUAGGAAAGAUGGUGAGAAGCGGAACAGCCUGCCCCAGAUCCCCAUGCUAAACCUGGAG
rnacentral:sRNA from 1 species